GGUCCCAUAGCUCAGCUGGAUAGAGCAUCAGAUUUCUAAUCUGACGGUCUCAGGUUCGAAUCCUGAUGGGAUCA
rnacentral:tRNA from 1 species